rnacentral:rRNA from 1 species
UACGUAGGUGGCAAGCGUUGUCCGGAAUUAUUGGGCGUAAAGCGCGCGCAGGCGGCCUUUUAAGUCUGAUGUGAAAUCUUGCGGCUCAACCGCAAGCGGUCAUUGGAAACUGGGAGGCUUGAGUACAGAAGAGGAGAGUGGAAUUCCACGUGUAGCGGUGAAAUGCGUAGAUAUGUGGAGGAACACCAGUGGCGAAGGCGACUCUCUGGUCUGUAACUGACGCUGAGGCGCGAAAGCGUGGGGAGCAAACAGG